rnacentral:rRNA from 1 species
UGGCGGACCGGCGCACGGGUGCGUAACGCGUAUGCAACCUACCCAUAACAGGGGGAUAACACUGAGAAAUUGGUACUAAUACCCCAUAACAUCAGGACCGGCAUCGGUUCUGGUUGAAAACUCCGGUGGUUAUGGAUGGGCAUGCGUUGUAUUAGCUGGUUGGUGAGGUAACGGCUCACCAAGGCAACGAUACAUAGGGGGACUGAGAGGUUAACCCCCCACAUUGGUACUGAGACACGGACCAA